rnacentral:lncRNA from 1 species
CCAAAAAUUACCACAAAAUUUGCAUCUCAACACACACUUAUCUUAGAAAAUGAACAUGGGUCAAUAAUCAGGGCAUGAGCUAUUUUGAUUGUUUUAAGAACAUCUGGUGAAUGGUCAUUUAUUCAGGAAAAAAAUCUAGUUAACAUCAGAAAGAAACUCAAAAGUCUACACAGCUGAGUCAUGGCUUGCUCACUUCUCAAGAUCUGCUCAUUACAUGUAGACUCUCAGGAAUUUCCUCAUCCCCAAUACCUAAUCUGUGACUGCCAGUGACCCAGGAAGUGUUUCUCAUCUCAGUCACACAGCCCUGUGUUGCAGAGGCUUUGUUCAAGGUAUCAGUAAUAGGAGCCCAAAUUCUCCAUCUUGGGGGACCCACUCAGGAUCAAAGGCUGUGCCCCAUGCACAGCAGAUAGAGAAUGUGAAAGGCACAUAUGAGGGACACAAUGAGAAGCCCAAGGCUUCCUGCCUCUCCUUCCUCUAAGCCCACUAGAGAAGAUCUCAGCACCAGGUCUGCCAUUAACUCACUACAGAGCCUUGGAAAGUUGUGGGACCUUGAAAUCCCCACCACUGCAAGACAGAAUGUUGCUGGGCCCAACCAGAUGCAGGGUUCAGCGAACUUUGCAGAAGAAGAGGAAGAAAGAUUCUAAGAGCCAACAGGGAUGGAAAACACCAAGGACAAUGCUUCCCAGAUACAACAGGACUGACCACAUAUGAACUCAAAGACAGUGGCAGCUGCAGAGAGCCUGCACAGGUCCAAACCAGAAGGGGCACCAGGAGGAAGUGGACAUGAGCUCCCACCCCUAAGCAAGAAGAUAACUCCAAUUAUCAAACGGUUGCAAAGGAAAAAAAUGUUUUCCAAUGAAGUCUCGCUGGGUAUAAAAAAAAAAAUUCACUUAAGGGCAUUUUUGGAGAUCUUUUUGUGUCAUAAUCCUUUGUCUGGGCCUUUCUUUUUUAACCUUAGUGGUCUUAUGCUCAUAUGUUAUUGUUUCUGAUUUUGUUUUUAUGUUUAUUUCUGUGUGUCUCUACAGGUAAAAAAGCUUCUCUUGCUUUUCCUAAUUUUGUUUUCUCAUUGUUUUGCUCUAGUCUGGUCUGGUUUUUGUUUGGUUGGUUUUUGUCUGUUUUUUAAAGAGCAAAAGAAGGCAUGGAGUUAGAUGGGUAUGGAGGCAGGGAGGAUCUGGGAGAUGAGGGAGAGGAAACUGGUCAGAAUACAUUGUAUGAAAUACACUAUUUUCUAUAAUAAAAAAACAAGAUUUUAAGAGCUGAAUGUUUCUGUGAAGAAGCUUCUCUGAUGAGGGUCAAGUGAUGCUCUCAUCUGGGUCCCAGCCUAGUGUGGCAGCUGUAGGUCCUGGUAGAUACAGGCUCUGUGAGUUGGCUGAGUCACAAGGGACUGAAAGGGGGAUAGAAGAAUAGGCUAAGAGGGGUC